UGGGGAAUUUUGCACAAUGGGGGAAACCCUGAUGCAGCGACGCCGCGUGAACGAUGAAGCCCUUCGGGGUGUAAAGUUCUUUCGACAGGAACGAUAAUGACGGUACCUGGAGACUAAGCACCGGCUAACUCCGUGCCAGCAGCCGCGGUAAUACGGAGGGUGCGAGCGUUAUCCGGAUUUACUGGGUUUAAAGGGUGCGUAGGUGGGCUUAUAAGUCAGUGGUGAAAUCUCCGAGCUUAACUGGGAAACUGCCGUUGAUACUAUAGGUCUUGAAUUAUCUGGAGGUAAGCGGAAUAUGUCAUGUAGCGGUGAAAUGCUUAGAUAUGACAUAGAACACCAAUUGCGAAGGCAGCUUACUACAUAUAAA
rnacentral:rRNA from 1 species